CAGAACAUGCUCCAUUUAGACAUCGACCUAAAAAGAUCGAAAUUGGCGCUCAGAAGAAAAACAAGAAACCAAAACUUGAAAAGUAGACCACGAAAAAGAAAAGAUAUCUUUUUUGCCUAUUUCUUUUUCUUAUUUACAUUUACAUAACUAUCU
rnacentral:ribozyme from 1 species